ACCGAUGAUGGGGAUUACAACAUCAAGCUGCGCAAUUUGACGCGAUUCCUGGAUGAGGACGGCGAUAAAGUCAAAAUCACCCUGCGUUUCCGCGGUCGUGAAAUGGCUCACCAGGAUAUCGGUGUGCGCAUGCUUGAACGUCUGAAGCAAGACCUGGAACCGUACGGGCAGGUCGAGCAGUGGCCGAAGAUGGAAGGGCGCCAGAUGAUCAUGAUCAUCGGACCCAAGAAGAAAAAGUAAGAAAGAUUUUAGGUGAUCUUGAUGAGUAAUCAUCAAGAUCACCCAAAAGCAGCGGGCCAGAUUCUGCUGC
rnacentral:misc_RNA from 1 species